rnacentral:rRNA from 1 species
GGUUGAUCUGCCAGUUAGUCAUAUGCUUGUCUCAAAGAUUAAGCCAAUUGGCAUGUUUGUAAGUAUGAACAAUUCAGACUUGUGAAACGCAAUUGGCUCAUUAAAUCAGUUCAUAGUUUGUGAUGGUAUCUGGCUACUCGGAUAACCGUAGUAAUUCUAGAGCUAUACGUGCAAACAAACCCCGAAUUCCUGGAAGGGAUGCAUUUAUAUAGAUAAAAGGUCGCACGCUGGCUCUGCCCGUGCUCUGAUGAUUCAUGAUAACUCGACGGAUCGACGGCCAUUCUGCCGGCGACGCAUCAUUUCAAAAUUUCUGCCCUAUUCAACUUUCGAUGGUAGCGAUAGAGGCCUACCAUGUGAGUGACGGGUGACGGAGAAUUAGGGUUUCGAUUCCGGGAGAGGGAGCCUGAGAAGAGAAACGGCUACCACAUCCAAGGGAGGCAGCAGCGCGCGCCAAAUUUACCCAAUCCUGACACGGGGAGGUAGUUUGCAAUAAAUAACAAUACGGAGCUCUUUCGAGGUCUGGUAAUGGAAAGUGAGUACAAUCUAAAUCCCUUAACAGAGGGAUUCCAUUGAGAGGGCAAGAUCUGGUGCCAGCAGCCGCGUCGGACGGUUAAUUCCAGCUCCAAUAGCGUAUAUUUAAGCUUGUUGCAGUUAAAAAAAGCUCGUAGUUGGACCUUGGGUUGGGUCGACCGGUCCGCCUCGCGGUGUGCACCUGUCGGCUUCGUACCCUUCUGCCGGCGAUGCGGCUCCUGGCCUUAACUGGCCGGGUCUGCCUCCGGCGCUUUACUUUGAAGAAAUUGAGUGCUCAAAGCAGCCUACGCUUCUGAUACAUUAGCAUUGGCAUACAUCAUAGGAUUUCGGUCCUAUUGUGUUGGCCUUCGGGAUCGGAGUUAAUGAUUAACAGGGACAGAUCGGGGGCUUCGUUAUUUCAUGUCAGAGGUGAAAUUUCUUGGAUUUAUGAAAGACGAACAACGCGAAAGCCAUUUGCAAGGAUGUUUUUCAUUAAUCAAGAACCGAAAGUUGGGGCUCGAAGACGAUUUCAGAUACCGUCCUAGUCUUCAACCAUAAACGAUGCCGACCGGAUCGCGGGAUGUUGUUUUUUAGGACUCCGCCCGGCACCUUAUAGAAAUCAAAAGUCUUUGGGUUCCGGGGGGAGUAUUUGGUCGCAAGGCUGAAAACUUAAAGGAAAUUGACGGAAGGGCCACAGGGAGUGGAGCCUGCGUCUUAAUUGACUGCAACACGGGGAAACUUACCAGGUCCAGACAUAGUAAGGAUGCAGACUGAGAGCUCUUUCUUGAUUCUAUGGGUGGUGGGUGCAUGGGCCGUUCUUAGUUGUGGAGCGAUUUUGUCUGGUUAAUUCCGUUAACGGACGAGACCUAGCCUGCUAACUAGCUAUGCGGAGGUGACCUCCGCGGCCCAGCUCUUAGAGGACUUGGCCUUUUAGGGCCAAGGAAGUUGAGCAAAUAACAGGCUGGAUGCCCUUAGAUUGUUCUGGGCCGCACGCGCGCUACACUGAUGUAUUCAACGAGUCUAUAAGCCUUGGCCGACAGGGCCCGGGUAUUCUUUGAAAUUUCAUCGUGAUGGGAUAGAUCAUUGCAAUUUUGGUCUUCACGAGGAAUUCCUGUUAAGCGCGAGUCUCAGCUCGCGUUGACUACGGUUCCCUGCCUUUUGUAACACACGCCCGUCUGCUCCUUACCGAUUUGACAUGGUCCGUGAGAGUGUUCGGACGCGGCGACGUGGGCGGUUCGCCGCCGGCGACGAUCGCCGAGAAGUCCACUGACCUGACUCAUUUAGCAGGAGGAGAAGUCGUAACAAGGUUUUCCGUAGGUGAACCUGCGAAGG